rnacentral:rRNA from 1 species
UACAGAGGGUGCGAGCGUUGUCCGGAAUCACUGGGCGUAAAGGGCGCGUAGGCGGCCUGAUAAGUAGGGGGUGAAAUCCUGUGGCUCAACUGCAGGGCUGCCUCCUAGACUGUCGGGCUUGAGCACGGUAGAGGCAGAUGGAAUUCCCGGUGUAGCGGAUGGAAUGCGUAGAGAUCGGGAAGAACAUCGGGUGGCGAAGGCGGUCUGCUGGGCCGUUG